UAGAUGGUCAGGAAGGGACAGGGAUGGGGACACUGUAGCACUGAUGGAGGUAGAUGGUCAGGAAGGGACAGGGAUGGGGGACACUGCAGCACUGAUGGAGGUACAUGGUCGGGAAGGGACAGGGAUGUUAGAGGCAGGUCGGGAAGGGACAGGGAUGGGGACACUGUAGCACUGAUGGAGGUAGAUGGUCAGGAAAGGACAGGGAUGUUAGAGGCAGGUCGGGAAGGGACAGGGAGGUUAGAGGCAGGUCGGGAAGAGACAGGGAUGGGGGACACUGCAGAACUGAUGGAGGUAGAUGGUCAGGAAGGGACAGGGAUGGGGGACACUGCAGCACUGAUGGAGGUAGAUGGUCAGGAAGGGACAGGGAUGGGGACACUGUAGCACUGAUGGAGGUAGAUGGUCAGGAAAGGACAGGGAUGUUAGAGGCAGGUCGGGAAGGGACAGGGAUGGGGACACUGUAGCACUGAUGGAGGUAGAUGGUCAGGAAGGGACAGGGAUGGGGACACUGCAGCACUGAUGGAGGUACAUGGUCGGGAAGGGACAGGGAUGUUAGAGGCAGGUCGGGAAGGGACAGGGAUGGGGACACUGUAGCACUGAUGGAGGUAGAUGGUCAGGAAAGGACAGGGAUGUUAGAGGCAGGUCGGGAAGGGACAGGGAGGUUAGAGGCAGGUCGGGAAGAGACAGGGAUGGGGGACACUGCAGAACUGAUGGAGGUAGAUGGUCAGGAAGGGACAGGGAUGGGGACACUGUAGCACUGAUGGAGGUAGAUGGUCAGGAAGGGACAGGGAUGGGGGACACUGUAGCACUGAUGGAGGUACAUGGUCGGGAAGGGACAGGGAUGGGGACACUGUAGCACUGAUGGAGGUAGAUGGUCAGGAAAGGACAGGGAUGGGGACACUGUAGCACUGAUGGAGGUAGAUGGUCAGGAAGGGACAGGGAUGGGGGACACUGCAGCACUGAUGGAGGUAGAUGGUCAGGAAGGGACAGGGAUGGGGACACUGUAGCACUGAUGGAGGUAGAUGGUCAGGAAAGGACAGGGAUGUUAGAGGCAGGUCGGGAAGGGACAGGGAUGGGGACACUGCAGCACUGAUGGAGGUAGAUGGUCAGGAAGGGACAGGGAUGGGGACACUGUAGCACUGAUGGAGGUAGAUGGUCAGGAAGGGACAGGGAUGGGGG